rnacentral:rRNA from 1 species
CCUACGGGGGCAGCAGUGGGGAAUAUUGGACAAUGGGCGAAAGCCUGAUCCAGCCAUGCCGCGUGUGUGAAGAAGGCCUUCGGGUUGUAAAGCACUUUCAGUGGGGAAGAAAGCCUUGGGGCUAAUACCCUCGAGGAAGGACAUCACCCACAGAAGAAGCACCGGCUAACUCCGUGCCAGCAGCCGCGGUAAUACGGAGGGUGCGAGCGUUAAUCGGAAUUACUGGGCGUAAAGCGCGCGUAGGCGGUCUGAUAAGCCGGUUGUGAAAGCCCCGGGCUCAACCUGGGAACGGCAUCCGGAACUGUCAGGCUAGAGUGCAGGAGAGGAAGGUAGAAUUCCCGGUGUAGCGGUGAAAUGCGUAGAGAUCGGGAGGAAUACCAGUGGCGAAGACGGCCUUCUGGACUGACACUGACGCUGAGGUGCGAAAGCGUGGGUAGCAAACAGGAUUAGAUACCCGAGUAGUC